rnacentral:rRNA from 1 species
GAUGAACGCUGGCGGCGUGCCUAAUACAUGCAAGUCGAGCGAACGGACGAGAAGCUUGCUUCUCUGAUGUUAGCGGCGGACGGGUGAGUAACACGUGGAUAACCUACCUAUAAGACUGGGAUAACUUCGGGAAACCGGAGCUAAUACCGGAUGAUAUUUUGAACCGCAUGGUUCAAAAGUGAAAGACGGUCUUGCUGUCACUUAUAGAUGGAUCCGCGCUGCAUUAGCUAGUUGGUAAGGUAACGGCUUACCAAGGCAACGAUGCAUAGCCGACCUGAGAGGGUGAUCGGCCACACUGGAACUGAGACACGGUCCAGACUCCUACGGGAGACAGCAGUAGGGAAUCUGCCGCAAUGGGCGAAAGCCUGACGGAGCAACGCCGCGUGAGUGAUGAAGGGCUUCGGAUCGUAAAACUCUGUUAUUAGGGAAGAACAUAUGUGUAAGUAACUGUGCACAUCUUGACGGGACCUAAUCAGAAAGCCACGGCUAACUACGU